rnacentral:lncRNA from 1 species
UCUGUUGCAAAUACUAUUAGUGCCGCAUCCGGUGCUAUUUUGGAGUGUAAGGAUGGGUGGGUUGAUUUUAUCCCUACAUGGAGGGUAGGGCUAGACGGAGUAGAGUGUAGAGGCUGACUGGGUAGGAUUUCUGAUUGCAUAUCUGUACUAUUACUGUUACUAAAAUGGGCUAAGGCUCACACUGAUACUGAUACUAUAAUAGGCUAAAGCCCUAACUGAAACUGAACUUUUACUAAUAUGGGCGGACUUAAGCCCAAAUUGUAUUUGCCUACUGUAUAAUUGACUAUUUGUACUUAAGGAUUACACACUAAGUUUUCAUAAACUCACCAUACUGCUUUUCUGCGCAGGUAAUCCCUAGGAGGAUCGGUGCUGCGAGGGACUCAAAGGUGGCCACAAAAGUAAUUUGAUUUGGGUAUUUGUUAUGUAAUAAGGCCUCUUUAAAUUUUU